rnacentral:rRNA from 1 species
UACAGAGGGGGCAAGCGUUGUUCGGAUUUAUUGGGCGUAAAGAGCUCGUAGGCGGCUUGUCGCGUCGUGUGUGAAAUCUCAGGGCUCAACUCUGACAUUGCAUACGAUACGGGCAGGCUUGAGUUCGGUAGGGGAGACUGGAAUUCCUGGUGUAGCGGUGAAAUGCGCAGAUAUCAGGAGGAACACCGGUGGCGAAGGCGGGUCUCUGGGCCGAUACUGACGCUGAGGAGCGAAAGCGUGGGGAGCGAACAGG